UGUGUGGAGCAAAAUUUGAUCUCAUCUUGUGUGCAAAAUUGGUGGGCAAAUUUAUGCUCGAGCAAAACUUGUGGUGCAUAGGCGUCUUUAUUUCUUUGCAAAGAGUUUUUUUUUUAAAACGGUGCAAAAUUUUUUAAGUAAUUUGAGUAGAGGGUUUGCUUCCCGCGGAAGGGAGAGAGGAUGUGGCAAUGGGGGUAAACUUUCUAUGAGGUGUGAUCAUUGCCGAAAUACUGGUCAUACCAAAGAUAGGUGAUGGGGUUUACAUCCUCAUCUGAGGCCGGCAUGGGACAAAGGUUCAUUUUCUGAAGCAAGUUCCUGUGCUCAAGCUGCAUCUUCUAACUCUCAAUUUAGCCUGGAACAAUUAGCACAACUUCUUCAACAAUUGGGAAAGAAUGGCUUUACUUCCACACAGGAAACACCCUCGGGUAAUAAAUCUUCUCAAGAAACAGGGAGUUUGGAAUGUCUUUCCAACUUCAAAGAAAUCACGAAUAGCCAACCUGUGUCAAUUGCCAAUGGGGAUCGAGCGAGGAAAACGAUUGGUGAGGGACAUACUUCGCAUGGCUUAUAUUUAGUUGAUUUGCAUAAUAAGGACUUAACAGCUAGACAAAAUGUGAAUGAUGGUAAUUUAUGGCACUCUAGGAUUGGCCAUCCUUCAGGCAAUAUUUUAAAGAUUUUAUUUCUAAGACUUUAUUCAGAUUCAUGUUCAUGUGAUGUGUGCAAAUUUUCAAAACAAGUUUGAUUACCUUUUCAGAGUUCUACAAGCUUUUAUGAUGAGCCCUUCCAUUUGAUACAUUUUGAUGUUUGGGGACCUGCCCCAAUAACUUCUUAUGAUGGGUUUAAGUAUUUUGUCACAUUUAUCGAGGAUAAAUCUAGGACCACUUGGAUAUAUUUAUUGAAAUCGAAGAGUGAAGAUUUUCAUACUUUCAAAGAAUUCUAUCAUAUGGUUUCAAAUCAAUUUAAUGACAGAAUUAAGAUCCUUCGUACCGACAAUGGAACCGAAUUAGUAAAUAAGAAUUUUUCAGAUUUUCUCACCAAACCUCUUGUAUAGGGACUCAGCAAAAUGGAAUUGCUGAACGAAAAAAUAGGAAGGUGAUCUGAUCCAUUAUGUUCCAAAUGAAUAUACCAAAAGUUUAUUGGUCUAAAGUUGUUCUUACAACCUGUUAUCUAAUUAACUGAAUCCCAAGUAGAAUUCUAAAAGAAAAGUCACCGUUGUAAAUUCUAAAAGGAAGAUGUAUUGAUAUUUCUCACUUGAAAGUUUUUUAGUGCACCUGUUAUGUUCAUGAACAAAAUAGAGACAAACUUGAAAAACGGGCCACUAAAUGUAUCUUUCUUGGGUACUCUUUUAUUAAAAAGGAGUACAAAUGCUAUGAUCCGAAGACAAGAAAAUUAUAUGUCAAGGGAUGUUGUUUUUAUUGAAACUGAGCCUUAUUUUCACAGUAAUUCUGUUGAAUCUUCUGAAAAUAUGACCAAGGGGGAGUGUACUAAUAUCUCACCACUACCUGUUCUUAAUACUGAUAUUUUCAAGUAAAAAAUUAGUAAAACUCCUCAAAAUGGUAGUGCUAAAGAAAAUUGUGAAAAUCAUCAAGUUGAAGACAGACCUGAAGUGAUUCAUGAAGAACCCGUGGCCUAGUCUUCUGAACUCAUGAUUCCUCUAUGGCGAUCGACUCGUAUGACUCAUCUUCCAUCUAAUCUUAAGGAUUUUUUCAUUUAUCAUGUUGUCUAAUCCUAUUCAGGAACACAUAGGUUACAAUCAUGUGUCUCCAAAUUAUGCUGCUUUUAUAAGUGCCAUCACUGAUAGUCCAGAACCUAAAUCCUUUUCUGAGGCUCAAUCCCUGCCUAUGUGGAGGAGAGCCAUGGAGGAGGAACUUAGAGCUCUUGAUAAAAACCAUAUAUGGGAAAUUGUCAAACUACCUAUAGGUAAAAGGGCUGUUGGCUACAAAUGGAUUUUCAAAACUAAAUUUAAAAGUGAUGGAACUGUUGAACGAUAUAAGGCCAGACUUGUGGCCAAGGGAUUUACACAAACUUUUGGACUUUAUUAUAAAGAGACAUUUGCUCUAGUUGCAAAAAUGAACAAGGUUUGUGUCCUAUUAUCUAUGGCUACUAAUAUUGGAUGGUAAUUGUCUCAAAUGAUGUGAAAAAUGCAUUUCUCCAUGGAGAUCUUGAAGAAGAGGUCUACAUGAGUUUGCCUUCGGGGCAUCCAAGGGAACUAGAAAAUAGAAUAGUGUGUAAAUUAAAAAAUGAUUUAUAUGGAUUGAAACAAUGGCCCAAGGUAUGAUAUGCAAAUUUGAGCUAUGCUCUCACUCAUGUAGGUUUUAAAAAAAGUAGUGUUGAUUCCUCUAUGUUUGUAAAGAAAACAAGUAAGGGAACUAUCGUUGUUCUCAUUUAUGUUGAUGACAUUGUCAUCACAGGAAAUGACCAGGAGGGAAUUUCAAAAUUAAAAGCACAUCUUCAUAAUAAAUUUGACAUUAAGGAUCUUGGCCAAUUAAAGUAUUUUUUUGGAAUAGAAGUGACUUACUCGAAAAAAGGGCUUUUUCAUUUGUCAAAAAAAAUAUGUUUUCGAUUUACUUAAAGAAACUGGAAAAUUAGGGGUCAAACCUAUUUGUUCGCUAGUAGAUAGCAGUCAGAAAUUAAAUCCUUUUGAUGGGGAACCCCUUCAAGAUGUUGGUCAAUAUCAAAGGCUUGUUGGAAAACUUAUUUACCUAACUAUAACAAGUCCCGAUAUUAUGUAUGCGGCUAGUCUUAUUAGCCAAUAUAUGCAAGCCCCACGAACUUGUCAUAUGGAAGCGGUUGAAAGGAUUUUGAAGUAUCUCAAAGCUUCACCUAGAAGAGGAAGAUGGAUGAAGCCAAAUGGAAAUGUUGAUAUUGAGGGAUACUUUGAUGCAAAUUGGGCAGGUAGUCCUUCAAAUAGAAGGUCUACCACAAGAUAUUGUACUAUUGUUGAAGGUAAUCUUGUCACAUGGAAAAGCAAAAAACAGAAUGUUGUGGCACGAUCAAGUGCUGAGGCAGAAUAUAGGGACAUGGCUUCAACAACAAGUAAAUUAAUUUGGCUUAAACAUCUUUUUCAAGAUAUGGGGUUGAAAACUCAGCUUCCAAUAAAAAUGUUUUGUGACAA